CUACGGGAGGCAGCAGUGGGGAAUUUUGGACAAUGGGCGAAAGCCUGAUCCAGCAAUGCCGCGUGUGUGAACAAGGCCUUCGGGUUGUAAAGCACUUUUGUCCGGAAAGAAAUGCCUUGUCUAAUAUAACCGGGGGAUGACGGUACCGGAAGAAUAAGCACCGGCUAACUCGCGUGCCAGCAGCCGCGGUAAUACGUAGGGUGCGAGCGUUAAUCGGAAUUACUGGNGCGUAAAGCGUGCGCAGGCGGUUUGCUAAGACCGAUGUGAAAUCCCCGGGCUCAACCUGGGAACUGCAUUGGUGACUCUGGCAGGCUAGAGU
rnacentral:rRNA from 1 species